GAACGCUGGCGGCAGGCCUAACACAUGCAAGUCGAACGGUAACAGGAAGCAGCUUGCUGCUUCGCUGACGAGUGGCGGACGGGUGAGUAAUGUCUGGGAAACUGCCUGAUGGAGGGGGAUAACUACUGGAAACGGUAGCUAAUACCGCAUAACGUCGCAAGACCAAAGAGGGGGACCUUCGGGCCUCUUGCCAUCGGAUGUGCCCAGAUGGGAUUAGCUAGUAGGUGGGGUAACGGCUCACCUAGGCGACGAUCCCUAGCUGGUCUGAGAGGAUGACCAGCCACACUGGAACUGAGACACGGUCCAGACUCCUACGGGAGGCAGCAGUGGGGAAUAUUGCACAAUGGGCGCAAGCCUGAUGCAGCCAUGCCGCGUGUAUGAAGAAGGCCCUCGGGUUGUAAAGUACUUUCAGCGGGGAGGAAGGCGAUAAGGUUAAUAACCUUGUCGAUUGACGUUACCCGCAGAAGAAGCACCGGCUAACUCCGUGCCAGCAGCCGCGGUAAUACGGAGGGUGCAAGCGUUAAUCGGAAUUACUGGGCGUAAAGCGCACGCAGGCGGUCUGUCAAGUCGGAUGUGAAAUCCCCGGGCUCAACCUGGGAACUGCAUUCGAAACUGGCAGGCUAGAGUCUUGUAGAGGGGGGUAGAAUUCCAGGUGUAGCGGUGAAAUGCGUAGAGAUCUGGAGGAAUACCGGUGGCGAAGGCGGCCCCCUGGACAAAGACUGACGCUCAGGUGCGAAAGCGUGGGGAGCAAACAGGAUUAGAUACCCCUGGUAGUCCACGCCGUAAACGAUGUCGACUUGGAGGUUGUGCCCUUGAGGCGUGGCUUCCGGAGCUAACGCGUUAAGUCGACCGCCUGGGGAGUACGGCCGCAAGGUUAAAACUCAAAUGAAUUGACGGGGGCCCGCACAAGCGGUGGAGCAUGUGGUUUAAUUCGAUGCAACGCGAAGAACCUUACCUACUCUUGACAUCCAGAGAACUUUCCAGAGAUGGAUUGGUGCCUUCGGGAACUCUGAGACAGGUGCUGCAUGGCUGUCGUCAGCUCGUGUUGUGAAAUGUUGGGUUAAGUCCCGCAACGAGCGCAACCCUUAUCCUUUGUUGCCAGCGGUCCGGCCGGGAACUCAAAGGAGACUGCCAGUGAUAAACUGGAGGAAGGUGGGGAUGACGUCAAGUCAUCAUGGCCCUUACGAGUAGGGCUACACACGUGCUACAAUGGCGCAUACAAAGAGAAGCGACCUCGCGAGAGCAAGCGGACCUCAUAAAGUGCGUCGUAGUCCGGAUUGGAGUCUGCAACUCGACUCCAUGAAGUCGGAAUCGCUAGUAAUCGUGGAUCAGAAUGCCACGGUGAAUACGUUCCCGGGCCUUGUACACACCGCCCGUCACACCAUGGGAGUGGGUUGCAAAAGAAGUAGGUAGCUUAACCUUCGGGAGGGCGCUUACCACUUUGUGAUUCAUGACUGGGGUGAAGU
rnacentral:rRNA from 1 species